rnacentral:rRNA from 1 species
GAUGAACGCUGGCGGCGUGCCUAAUACAUGCAAGUCGAGCGAACAGAUAAGGAGCUUGCUCCUUUGACGUUAGCGGCGGACGGGUGAGUAACACGUGGGUAACCUACCUAUAAGACUGGGAUAACUUCGGGAAACCGGAGCUAAUACCGGAUAACACUUGGAACCGCAUGGUUCUAAAGUGAAAGAUGGUAUUGCUAUCACUAAUAGAUGGACCCGCGCCGUAUUAGCUAGUUGGUAAGGUAACGGCUUACCAAGGCAACGAUACGUAGCCGACCUGAGAGGGUGAUCAGCCACACUUGAACUGAGACACGGUCCAGACUCCUACGGGAGACAGCAGUAGGGAAUCUUCCGCAAUGGGCGGAAGCCUGACGGAGCAACGCCGCGUGAGUGAUGAAGGGUUUCGGCUCGUAAAACUCUGUUAUUAGGGAAGAACAAACGUGUAAGUAACUGUGCACGUCUUGACGGUACCUAAUCAGAAAGCCACGGCUAACUACGUG